UUAAGUUAGAGUUGGAUGUGUGAGAAUUAGCUGAACACUUAGAUUGCAAUGACUGGGUUGACAAUUUCCAGUUGUAAGCAGCUGCUUGCCUUUUGACAAAUGUCAGCAGGAUAAUGUUUUGAUCUUCCUUUGAUGCAAGAACAGCUCAGUGGUAGAAGUUCUGUCUGCUUGACAAGUCCUGCACAACUGAAGUCUGUAAGGACAAAGAUCAAAAACUCUGGCUGACGCAGUAGUUUCGGUCCUGUUGGGAUGACGCCAUCUGUGGAGUGCCACUCUUCAGGCAACGAAAAUCCUACUUGGAACGCAGCGUGAAAGAUGCAGAAGACAACAUCAGGGAAAUGUUAAUGGCCAGAAGAGGACAAUAACAGAUUAGACUGCUGGAAAUUCGGUUUC